AAUAGGUUUAAUUUGAAGAUAAAAUCACUUGCUUCUUCUCCUUUCUUUCGUUCUUCCCAGCCUGAUACUCUCUCUCUCUCUCUCUCUCUCUCUACAUUCUUUUGAGUUUCUGCUGGCACUUCUCACUGCUAUCGUGCCAUCGUGAUUGAGGGAAGCUAGUGAGUCUCUCAAUCCUCUAUCUCUCUCUCUCUCUCUCUCUCUCUCUCUCUCUCUCUCUCUCUCUCUCUCUCUCUCUCUCUCUCUCUCUCUCUCUCCCCCCCCCUUCUUAGUCCUUGAUUAGGUUGCCCCACUGUCACGCCGCCGCAGCCUGAGCUCAACAGCCAUUUCCUCGACUUGUCUCCAUUGUAUUUCACCGUUGUAUGUGGGGGUCUCAACCUGAGCGUAACAGAGGGCCAUCUCCUCAAUUAGGGUUUGUCGAAGAGCUUAUUGUAAAUAGUUGUUAAUCCUAUUACUUUGUUCUAUGCUCUUAUUUCUAUUUUAUAUGACUAAUAUUUUGAUAAAUUGUUAGAAAGUUAAGGAAAAACAAGAGAAUGUAGGAGAUAAGGUAUGUGGAUGAUGAUGUUGAUUAAAAUGUAGUGCUUUGUAUUUGUAAAGAUCUUAUGGAAGAGUUAGGGAGAAUUUAAUUUCGUCAUAUAUUAUGCUGAUAGGUUAUACUCUCUCUCUCUCUCUCUCCAUGUGGUCUUAUGUGAUAGAUCCUUUCAUUUGGGAUUUGUUCGUUGCUAAUCACCCGAGAUUUUAAAUAGUUUUUGAACUAA